AACGUAGACUUGGCCGACGAGGUUCGAAGUGUAGUAUCUUUUCUUAUCAGCUUAAUAUCUGAUGCGCGUUUUAUUUCGGGCUAAAAUAUUAAGUUUACUUUGGCAAGUUGGCGUAGUGCAUAACGCCAGCUUUACGUCUGGCCAGCGUCGGCCCAGUAUUGCACUAUCCUCAGGAUCGGCCCAUGUAUG